GUGUCACUGUCUCAGUGGUGUGUGUUUCAGGUUGGAGGCAAAGCGGAUGGCGGUUGCUAGGUAACCAGGUAGAAUAGGGCUUGAAUUACACCGGUGUCUCUCCCUGUCCCAAAUGCAGGCAACUCUUUUCUCCGACCUCAUCUACUCUUUCCUAAAGCUAGACACCCAUCUCUUAUUUUUUGGUGGAGUUUGAGGCCUCUGCGAGGAGAAGCAAGAUACAACCAACUGAAAAGUACUGCAUCUCACAUUUGGAACCUUUUGGAACUGUCUAGAACCUUCCAGAACCUUUUAGAACGUUUGAAUUUUCUGAUCCCUGUUGCCGUCUACUAGGAGCCACCUGAGGAACUGAAGCAACUUUUUCGCUUUUCUCUGACUAGUCUGUGGUCUCUACUGGUCUGUACUGGUUUGAACUGUUUUUUGUGGAAUUGUACUGGUCUGAACUGGUCUGUAGUGGUCAAGAUGCGACGGUUAGAGCUAAAGGCCCUCUGUGCAGCGUUGCUGGUCUUUGCAGUGGUGAGCGCCGCUUCCUGUCAGUCGGACUCUUCAGACUGCUCCCAGGCUGAGUCAUGUGACCUGUGUGUUGGAGACUCCACCCUCAACUUGACUGGCUGUGUCUGGAGGGUCUGUGUGAACGGUGAGAAAUAACAGAUGAAAGGAGUGCUCUCACAGGGCUCACCAAGCCCACAAAGGACACACACACACACACACACACACACACACACACACACACACACACACACACACACAAUAUAAAUUAGAUCCCGAGCUGCAGGCAAUGAUACUGGGUGUGUGUCCGAUCAGGAUGAUUCUCAGAACUGUAAUGUGACAAGUGACCCAGACAUGUGUACAGUCAUAGAGAUCGAGGCAGAAGGUAAAGGGGACUCAGAUGGGUCUCCUGCAGAGCCGUCAGAGUUCUCUCAGGCCAGCUUCGACCUGUCCAGUUUCAUAGGAGGCAUCAUCCUGGUGUUGUGUGUCCAGGCCGGGGGCUUCUUCACCAUGCGCUUCCUCAAGAAAGAUGCCACCUACGACCCUAUAGAGCAGCCAGCCUAGAGGAGAGAGAGAAGAGGACAGUAAAAGAUGAAAGAGGGAGGGAGCUGUGACUCACCAUGCUGUCACGAUGCUUUUUAUGACGUCAUGUACCACACUCCAGUGUAUGCGUGUGUUGUACUUGUGUGUGUGUGCGUGUGUUGUACUUGUGUGUGCGUGUGUGUGUUGUACUUGUCUGUGUGUCCCAGAUGUGCACCUGUGUACAUUGUUUUGUUUGACCGAUUGUCCAUUAUGUUGUGUAACUCCUGUUUCUGUGUGUGUGUGUGUGUUCUCUUUGUACUGUCAGGUGGCCUUUCCCUGAUGCCUGUGUGUCUAUUUCUAUUUUCCUUGUCUGAUUUGUUUCGUCUGGAUCUAAUAUGUGUGCAAUAUUUACAUUGGGGGUUCAGGUUCCAUGUAUAAUGAAUGUGUAAUGAUUUGAAUCGUGUUUAAACAUGUUCAUUAGUUAGUUUUGUUGAACUGGUUUGGUUUGAACUGCAUUCAGGAGGGAGGGGUCUGGGAUCUGUUCUGUGUUGUUUAUGAAAAUAAACACAAUACAAAAAAAAUA
rnacentral:lncRNA from 1 species